rnacentral:rRNA from 1 species
UACGUAGGGGGCUAGCGUUGUCCGGAAUCAUUGGGCGUAAAGAGCGCGUAGGCGGCCAGAUAAGUCCGGUGUGAAAGUCAAAGGCUCAACCUUUGAAUGCCGCUGGAAACUGUCUGGCUAGAGUCCGGGAGGGGCGAGUGGAAUUCCUGGUGUAGCGGUGAAAUGCGCAGAUAUCAGGAAGAACACCCGUGGCGAAGGCGGUUCUCUGGGACGGUACUGACGCUGGAGACGCGAAAGCGUGGGGAGCGAACAGG